CAUGGAUUGGCACUUCAAUUUUAGGGAUAAAUUGAGGUGAUAUGUUUUCAGUCUCCGACUACCAUCAAUCAUUUUGAUACCAAAUUGAAGUUUGAAAUUUUGUAUAUAGAGAGAAAAAUAAAUAAGUACCAAAUCAUCACUUAAAAACUAAUUCUAUUAAAAUAAUUUAAUUAAUUUUUUUGCUACUAAGAAUUCAAUUU
rnacentral:lncRNA from 1 species